UCAUUUGAUAUGGAUCUUCCCCAGUAUUUGUCCCUGGUAUUUGUCCCUGCUUUCAUUUGCAAACUCCUCCGUUACAAAAUCAGAACCCUAAAUUGACAGCAUUCUCAUUAUUUUCCCAUGGGUUCGAGAGGAGCCACCGUUGUGCUAUCGAGAGCAAACAGGAUAAGAACGAAGCUGCAGUCGGCGCUGGAAGCCACCGUUUUAGAGGUGGACGACGUGUCGCACCAGCACGCGGGUCACGCCGCCGUGAGGGGAAGUUCCGACAAGGAGACCCACUUCAACGUGAAGAUCGUUUCGUCUAAGUUCGAGGGUCAGAACCUCGUGAAACGACACCGUCUCGUCUAUGACCUCCUCGCCGACGAGCUUCAGUCCGGCCUGCACGCCCUCUCCAUUGUCGCCAAGACGCCCAACGAAACAAGUUCGUCUAAAUGACGCAUCUCGAAAGCUUGAAACUUUUCGGAUUUUUCUUCAACUUUGCUGGGAGGAUGUCUCAGUGGAAUUGAUGCAUAGAAGUAUCCACUAGAAAGAUGGUGGCAAACCCUCAUAUAAGAUGGAGAACAGGGAAACUGAAUUUCGUGGCUUGGAUUUUUAGUGGAAGUGAUUGAAUGAUGGAAUAGAUAACAAUUAUAAUAUGAAAUUUUCACUUUGAUUUUGCAUAUUGACUUACCAUCUUUGACCUAAGUCUAGAUAAAUACCAUAUUUAGAUUAAAUUUUUAUUGAGAA